UACAAAGAACAUCAUCAACAUAAAAUACAAUUCAUGAAUACAACCGCAACAGAAAGACAACACAAAAUUUCAAUCACAUCCAACCGCAUAGAAAGAUAACGCUCAUCAUGACAUCUUGCUUCACUUUCUAAUGAACUUGCUUAUGAGAAUGCUCAUUUGCAAAGAAACCCUGCUAUGAGACAUAGAAAAAGGUCUUCAUCAUCCUUUGUCAGGUGAACAGACCACAAAACCACAAA
rnacentral:lncRNA from 1 species